UAUUUCUAUUAACCAUUUUUCAUAGAUGAAUCCUUUUCAAAUACAAGGUCAAACUUCAAGACCUAUUGUAGCCAAGUUUAGAAGCUGGAGGGCUGUAGUUGUCAAGGUAGAAGGUUGAGAGCUAAAGUUUAACUUUUGUGUGUAUAUAAGGAGAGUAAGGUAUGAGAAUGAAACACUCGUCUUUGCUCUCUCUUCCUUAUGCACACUCUAAUUGAUUCUUAUAUCUUUGAUCAAUUGGGUUCAUAAUCAUCCCACUUCAAAAGAUGUAAAUUUGACUUUCAAAAGGUCAAAACUUCAUAAAUUUGCAUGAAGCCAAACCUUGUGAGCAUCUAAAUCAUGUAUCAUCUGACUUUUGUUUUCCUUUGCCUUCGACUUGUGAUUAGAUGUAUGUAUAGUCGUAUAGGGAUUUUCGUGGUAAAUGUACACGACUUGUUCUCGAGUUUCAGAAUACACAACCAUCAAGCUUUGAACCCAUAUAAAUAUAAAAUUCUAGAUGGGUUCAAAAUUUAAUAACUAUAUAUGGAUCCGACCCGCAUCCGGCCUGGUGGGAAUUAAAGAGAAUAGAUGCGACGGAGGCGUUUAUGGCGGUGACGACCUCGGAUUCUGGAGGCACAAGGGUGGUGGAACCAAGCGUGAAGAUCGUGAAGCAGUUACUUCAACGUUUGGAAACCAGACCGGACCGGCCGUUCCAGUCGGUUUAACCGGAGACCGAUGGUGUCGGCGGUCCGGUCAUGCCCUUUGAACCAUUUGUGCAGCAACCGGCCAGCCGGACCGGGUGGCCAACGAUCGAACCGUGGAACCGCGACUAGGCGGUCAAAUCGGAGAUGAAGAUAAUAACAAUGCUAAGUCUGGUCUUCGCUCGAAGAGAGUCAGAGAUGAGGGGAGGUGGUGAUGAUUUGAACAAUUUUUGUGUUUUUGUUCGGCAACUGCUGCCACGUUCCUUGUUCUCCGGUCCACUGAGUAGUAAUAUAUAAGAAAACCUAAUGCAUGUACUCCAUGUAUAGAAGAAAAAGUAGAAAUUUUUUUU